UCAUGGAGAAGAAAGGAGAGGAGUCGUGAGGAGCGGCGAGUCAAGAGUGAGCACGAAGAGAGGAUGAGGAAGAUGGAAGAGGAGGGAAGAGAAAGGCACUCUGGGCAAAGGGACUGCCCUGGCAGCAGGGCUGUGGUCACAUGAGAGCACGGCUGGCACCUUUGGUGCCCUUGCUCCCUUUGCACUGGGCGACCUCCCUGUAAGCAGGGCUCGGGUCUUUGCUUUUGUUGGCCUUUUGCCAUGUUGCUCCUUGGCUGCCUGGAGAGAGGGACGAGCCUGUAAGGAGGCUGCGAGUCCCUUUCUCCGCCCCGGAGGGGACAGGGAGCUCACCGGAACCCAGGCCCGCCCUGUAAGCAGGGCCGGGCUCUUUGCCCCCCACGGCUUUCCGCCUGCCGGCCCCUGGCCGGCGCCACCCCCGCGCUCGGGGUGUGUGCCAGCAUUGGCCCUUUGGCGCCCCGUGAAGCCCCUUGGCAUGUUGAGUGCUCCGGCCUCCAUGCAGCCUGGGGGCAGGCCUGAGCCUCUCCUCCCGCUCCUGGGUACGGACCGGGCCCCCGACGUUGGCUGGCUGCCCUGGGCUCCCUUUCUCUCCUGGAAAGCCGUGUUACAUGUCUCCUGUCUCCUGUGCUUGUCUCUUUCCUCUUGUCCUCUGUCCUGUUGGGAGUGAGUGAGCUAAUGAGUGAGCUUGUCCUUUAGGCCUCUGUAAAAAGCGCUGCAGCGUAUUAGCUCCGGCUUCCCAGGCCUGAAAGAAGGGCUCUGGGCAGUAGCAGAGGGGUCCCGUCUCGGGCCCAGAUUUGAGGAGGGGGAGAGUUCCGGCUUGCCCCUUCCUCCCCCGGGCAGAGCGGAGCCACUUGGUAAUGGUGUGGGCGAGGGGACCUGCCCGUAGUCGGGACCCAGGUCUGUGCCCGCGUGGCCGCCUGUCCUGCUGGCCACGUGGCCAGCGUGACGGCCCUGUAGUCAGGGCGUGCGUCACAAGCCGUGGAGCCCUGUGCGCCCGGAGCAGCUUGGCCUCCCUGUAAGCAGGGCGGAGGGGCCUGCCCUCCCGCGGCCUGCUGCUUUAGCCAGCCACCAGGAAUGACCCCUCCCCGGCCCGCUAAGGGGGCAGGCGGAGGAAGUGCCCUGCCGCAGGGCGCUGUGCGGCCUCCGGGCCGCUUCUUCUGGGGGCCACCUGCCCACAGCCGGGCUCGAGGUGCCCCCUGGGCUCCUGCAGACGUGCUGUUGUGCUGCAGCCAGGCUGGCCAGCCCGUAAGCCGGGCCUAGGCCAGAGCCUCCUGCCCCGUGGGGCUCGGGGCUAGUGCCAGCGCUGGGGGCAGCGGCCUGUAAGCAGGGCCGUGCGUGUUCCCUGUGCUGUGCGGGAGGUGCUGGGAGCGCCCGCCUGUAAGGAGGUGGGUUGUGCGGGGCCCCCGCCUUUGAGAGGCGCGGGGUCUGGGGCUGUGGGGCCAGGCGGGCCCUCCCUGUAGUCAGGGCGAGGGUGCCGGCCCCCGGCCUUUGGCCGGCGUGCUCGCUGCCUGGCUGCUGCGAGUCAUUCCUGUGGCCCUGGGGGAAGGCUGAGCUCUCUGUCUGCCUGGGUGUCGUGGCCCUCCCUGUAAUCGGGGUGCGGGCCUGGAGCCUGCGUGCUCAGCUGGCAGCCGGUUUGGGGCGACCGCCCCGUUAGCGGGGCCCAGGUCAGAGUGCCCCUGCAUGGGAGAGAAGGAGCCUCCCUCUGCCGCGGGGCCCCGGGCUGCCCUGUAGCUCGGGGACUGGCCUGUGCCCUGGGGCCCCGGCCUUAGGCAGUUGGGGCAGUGGCCCCGGCCCCCUGUAAGCAGGGCUGAAGCCUCCUGGGCCACUGCUCUCCGUGCCCAGCUCCAUUUGCCCAGAGUGCCCGCCUCUGACCCCCGCUGCAGCUUCAAUCAAGACCGCUGGACACCUCGUCAGCUGGAGGCCGUGCAGUGGGCAGCGGCUGCUGCUCAUGGAGAAGAAAGGAGAGGAGCCGUGAGGAGCGGCGAGUCAAGAGUGAGCACGAAGAGAGGAUGAGGAAGAUGGAAGAGGAGGGAAGAGAAAGGCACUCUGGGCAAAGGGACUGCCCUGGCAGCAGGGCUGUGGUCACAUGAGAGCACGGCUGGCACCUUUGGUGCCCUUGCUCCCUUUGCACUGGGCGACCUCCCUGUAAGCAGGGCUCGGGUCUUUGCUUUUGUUGGCCUUUUGCCAUGUUGCUCCUUGGCUGCCUGGAGAGAGGGACGAGCCUGUAAGGAGGCUGCGAGUCCCUUUCUCCGCCCCGGAGGGGACAGGGAGCUCACCGGAACCCAGGCCCGCCCUGUAAGCAGGGCCGGGCUCUUUGUCCCCCACGGCUUUCCGCCUGCCGGCCCCUGGCCGGCGCCACCCCCGCGCUCGGGGUGUGUGCCAGCAUUGGCCCUUUGGCGCCCCGUGAAGCCCCUUGGCAUGUUGAGUGCUCCGGCCUCCAUGCAGCCUGGGGGCAGGCCUGAGCCUCUCCUCCCGCUCCUGGGUACGGACCGGGCCCCCGACGUUGGCUGGCUGCCCUGGGCUCCCUUUCUCUCCUGGAAAGCCGUGUUACAUGUCUCCUGUCUCCUGUGCUUGUCUCUUUCCUCUUGUCCUCUGUCCUGUUGGGAGUGAGUGAGCUAAUGAGUGAGCUUGUCCUUUAGGCCUCUGUAAAAAGCGCUGCAGCGUAUUAGCUCCGGCUUCCCAGGCCUGAAAGAAGGGCUCUGGGCAGUAGCAGAGGGGUCCCGUCUCGGGCCCAGAUUUGAGGAGGGGGAGAGUUCCGGCUUGCCCCUUCCUCCCCCGGGCAGAGCGGAGCCACUUGGUAAUGGUGUGGGCGAGGGGACCUGCCCGUAGUCGGGGCCCAGGUCUGUGCCCGCGUGGCCGCCUGUCCUGCUGGCCACGUGGCCAGCGUGACGGCCCUGUAGUCGGGGCGUGCGUCACAAGCCGUGGAGCCCUGUGCGCCCGGAGCAGCUUGGCCUCCCUGUAAGCAGGGCGGAGGGGCCUGCCCUCCCGCGGCCUGCUGCUUUAGCCAGCCACCAGGAAUGACCCCUCCCUGGCCCGCUAAGGGGGCAGGCGGAGGAAGUGCCCUGCCGCAGGGCGCUGUGCGGCCUCCGGGCCGCUGCUUCUGGGGGCCACCUGCCCGCAGCCGGGCUCGAGGUGCCCCCUGGGCUCCUGCAGACGUGCUGUUGUGCUGCAGCCAGGCUGGCCAGCCCGUAAGCCGGGCCUAGGCCAGAGCCUCCUGCCCCGUGGGGCUCGGGGCUAGUGCCAGCGCUGGGGGCAGCGGCCUGUAAGCAGGGCCGCGCGUGUUCCCUGUGCUGUGCAGGAGGUGCUGGGAGCGCCCGCCUGUAAGGAGGUGGGUUGUGCGGGGCCCCCGCCUUUGAGAGGCGCGGGGUCUGGGGCUGUGGGGCCAGGUGGGCCCUCCCUGUAGUCAGGGCGAGGGUGCCGGCCCCCAGCCUUUGGCCGGCGUGCUCGCUGCCUGGCUGCUGCGAGUCAUUCCUGUGGCCCUGGGGGAAGGCUGAGCUCUCUGUCUGCCUGGGUGUCGUGGCCCUCCCUGUAAUCGGGGUGCGGGCCUGGAGCCCGCGUGCUCAGCUGGCAGCCGGUUUGGGGCGACCGCCCCGUUAGCGGGGCCCAGGUCAGAGUGCCCCUGCAUGGGAGAGAAGGAGCCUCCCUCUGCCGCGGGGCCCCGGGCUGCCCUGUAGCUCGGGGACUGGCCUGUGCCCUGGGGCCCCGGCCUUAGGCAGUUGGGGCAGUGGCCCCGGCCCCCUGUAAGCAGGGCUGAAGCCUCCUGGGCCACUGCUCUCCGUGCCCAGCUCCAUUUGCCCAGAGUGCCCGCCUCUGACCCCCGCUGCAGCUUCAAUCAAGACCGCUGGACACCUCGUCAGCUGGAGGCCGUGCAGUGGGCAGCGGCUGCUGCUCAUGGAGAAGAAAGGAGAGGAGUCGUGAGGAGCGGCGAGUCAAGAGUGAGCACGAAGAGAGGAUGAGGAGGAUGGAAGAGGAGGGAAGAGAAAGGCACUCUGGGCAAAGGGACUGCCCUGGCAGCAGGGCUGUGGUCACAUGAGAGCACGGCUGGCACCUUUGGUGCCCUUGCUCCCUUUGCGCUGGGCGACCUCCCUGUAAGCAGGGCUCGGGUCUUUGCUUUUGUUGGCCUUUUGCCAUGUUGCUCCUUGGCUGCCUGGAGAGAGGGACGAGCCUGUAAGGAGGCUGCGAGUCCCUUUCUCCGCCCCGGAGGGGACAGGGAGCUCACCGGAACCCAGGCCCGCCCUGUAAGCAGGGCCGGGCUCUUUGUCCCCCAUGGCUUUCCGCCUGCCGGCCCCUGGCCGGCGCCACCCCCGCGCUGGGGGUGUGUGCCAGCAUUGGCCCUUUGGCGCCCCGUGAAGCCCCUUGGCAUGUUGAGUGCUCCGGCCUCCAUGCAGCCUGGGGGCAGGCCUGAGCCUCUCCUCCCGCUCCUGGGUACGGACCGGGCCCCCGACGUUGGCUGGCUGCCCUGGGCUCCCUUUCUCUCCUGGAAAGCCGUGUUACAUGUCUCCUGUCUCCUGUGCUUGUCUCUUUCCUCUUGUCCUCUGUCCUGUUGGGAGUGAGUGAGCUAAUGAGUGAGCUUGUCCUUUAGGCCUCUGUAAAAAGCGCUGCAGCGUAUUAGCUCCGGCUUCCCAGGCCUGAAAGAAGGGCUCUGGGCAGUAGCAGAGGGGUCCCGUCUCGGGCCCAGAUUUGAGGAGGGGGAGAGUUCCGGCUUGCCCCUUCCUCCCCCGGGCAGAGCGGAGCCACUUGGUAAUGGUGUGGGCGAGGGGACCUGCCCGUAGUCGGGGCCCAGGUCUGUGCCCGCGUGGCCGCCUGUCCUGCUGGCCACGUGGCCAGCGUGACGGCCCUGUAGUCAGGGCGUGCGUCACAAGCCGUGGAGCCCUGUGCGCCCGGAGCAGCUUGGCCUCCCUGUAAGCAGGGCGGAGGGGCCUGCCCUCCCGCGGCCUGCUGCUUUAGCCAGCCACCAGGAAUGACCCCUCCCCGGCCCGCUAAGGGGGCAGGCGGAGGAAGUGCCCUGCCGCAGGGCGCUGUGCGGCCUCCGGGCCGCUUCUUCUGGGGGCCACCUGCCCGCAGCCGGGCUCGAGGUGCCCCCUGGGCUCCUGCAGACGUGCUGUUGUGCUGCAGCCAGGCUGGCCAGCCUGUAAGCCGGGCCUAGGCCAGAGCCUCCUGCCCCGUGGGGCUCGGGGCUAGUGCCAGCGCUGGGGGCAGCGGCCUGUAAGCAGGGCCGUGCGUGUUCCCUGUGCUGUGCGGGAGGUGCUGGGAGCGCCCGCCUGUAAGGAGGUGGGUUGUGCGGGGCCCCCGCCUUUGAGAGGCGCGGGGUCUGGGGCUGUGGGGCCAGGCGGGCCCUCCCUGUAGUCAGGGCGAGGGUGCCGGCCCCCGGCCUUUGGCCGGCGUGCUCGCUGCCUGGCUGCUGCGAGUCAUUCCUGUGGCCCUGGGGGAAGGCUGAGCUCUCUGUCUGCCUGGGUGUCGUGGCCCUCCCUGUAAUCGGGGUGCGGGCCUGGAGCCUGCGUGCUCAGCUGGCAGCCGGUUUGGGGCGACCGCCCCGUUAGCGGGGCCCAGGUCAGAGUGCCCCUGCAUGGGAGAGAAGGAGCCUCCCUCUGCCGCGGGGCCCCGGGCUGCCCUGUAGCUCGGGGACUGGCCUGUGCCCUGGGGCCCCGGCCUUAGGCAGUUGGGGCAGUGGCCCCGGCCCCCUGUAAGCAGGGCUGAAGCCUCCUGGGCCACUGCUCUCCGUGCCCAGCUCCAUUUGCCCAGAGUGCCCGCCUCUGACCCCCGCUGCAGCUUCAAUCAAGACCGCUGGACACCUCGUCAGCUGGAGGCCGUGCAGUGGGCAGCGGCUGCUGCUCAUGGAGAAGAAAGGAGAGGAGCCGUGAGGAGCGGCGAGUCAAGAGUGAGCACGAAGAGAGGAUGAGGAAGAUGGAAGAGGAGGGAAGAGAAAGGCACUCUGGGCAAAGGGACUGCCCUGGCAGCAGGGCUGUGGUCACAUGAGAGCACGGCUGGCACCUUUGGUGCCCUUGCUCCCUUUGCACUGGGCGACCUCCCUGUAAGCAGGGCUCGGGUCUUUGCUUUUGUUGGCCUUUUGCCAUGUUGCUCCUUGGCUGCCUGGAGAGAGGGACGAGCCUGUAAGGAGGCUGCGAGUCCCUUUCUCCGCCCCGGAGGGGACAGGGAGCUCACCGGAACCCAGGCCCGCCCUGUAAGCAGGGCCGGGCUCUUUGUCCCCCACGGCUUUCCGCCUGCCGGCCCCUGGCCGGCGCCACCCCCGCGCUCGGGGUGUGUGCCAGCAUUGGCCCUUUGGCGCCCCGUGAAGCCCCUUGGCAUGUUGAGUGCUCCGGCCUCCAUGCAGCCUGGGGGCAGGCCUGAGCCUCUCCUCCCGCUCCUGGGUACGGACCGGGCCCCCGACGUUGGCUGGCUGCCCUGGGCUCCCUUUCUCUCCUGGAAAGCCGUGUUACAUGUCUCCUGUCUCCUGUGCUUGUCUCUUUCCUCUUGUCCUCUGUCCUGUUGGGAGUGAGUGAGCUAAUGAGUGAGCUUGUCCUUUAGGCCUCUGUAAAAAGCGCUGCAGCGUAUUAGCUCCGGCUUCCCAGGCCUGAAAGAAGGGCUCUGGGCAGUAGCAGAGGGGUCCCGUCUCGGGCCCAGAUUUGAGGAGGGGGAGAGUUCCGGCUUGCCCCUUCCUCCCCCGGGCAGAGCGGAGCCACUUGGUAAUGGUGUGGGCGAGGGGACCUGCCCGUAGUCGGGGCCCAGGUCUGUGCCCGCGUGGCCGCCUGUCCUGCUGGCCACGUGGCCAGCGUGACGGCCCUGUAGUCGGGGCGUGCGUCACAAGCCGUGGAGCCCUGUGCGCCCGGAGCAGCUUGGCCUCCCUGUAAGCAGGGCGGAGGGGCCUGCCCUCCCGCGGCCUGCUGCUUUAGCCAGCCACCAGGAAUGACCCCUCCCUGGCCCGCUAAGGGGGCAGGCGGAGGAAGUGCCCUGCCGCAGGGCGCUGUGCGGCCUCCGGGCCGCUGCUUCUGGGGGCCACCUGCCCGCAGCCGGGCUCGAGGUGCCCCCUGGGCUCCUGCAGACGUGCUGUUGUGCUGCAGCCAGGCUGGCCAGCCCGUAAGCCGGGCCUAGGCCAGAGCCUCCUGCCCCGUGGGGCUCGGGGCUAGUGCCAGCGCUGGGGGCAGCGGCCUGUAAGCAGGGCCGCGCGUGUUCCCUGUGCUGUGCAGGAGGUGCUGGGAGCGCCCGCCUGUAAGGAGGUGGGUUGUGCGGGGCCCCCGCCUUUGAGAGGCGCGGGGUCUGGGGCUGUGGGGCCAGGUGGGCCCUCCCUGUAGUCAGGGCGAGGGUGCCGGCCCCCAGCCUUUGGCCGGCGUGCUCGCUGCCUGGCUGCUGCGAGUCAUUCCUGUGGCCCUGGGGGAAGGCUGAGCUCUCUGUCUGCCUGGGUGUCGUGGCCCUCCCUGUAAUCGGGGUGCGGGCCUGGAGCCCGCGUGCUCAGCUGGCAGCCGGUUUGGGGCGACCGCCCCGUUAGCGGGGCCCAGGUCAGAGUGCCCCUGCAUGGGAGAGAAGGAGCCUCCCUCUGCCGCGGGGCCCCGGGCUGCCCUGUAGCUCGGGGACUGGCCUGUGCCCUGGGGCCCCGGCCUUAGGCAGUUGGGGCAGUGGCCCCGGCCCCCUGUAAGCAGGGCUGAAGCCUCCUGGGCCACUGCUCUCCGUGCCCAGCUCCAUUUGCCCAGAGUGCCCGCCUCUGACCCCCGCUGCAGCUUCAAUCAAGACCGCUGGACACCUCGUCAGCUGGAGGCCGUGCAGUGGGCAGCGGCUGCUGCUCAUGGAGAAGAAAGGAGAGGAGUCGUGAGGAGCGGCGAGUCAAGAGUGAGCACGAAGAGAGGAUGAGGAGGAUGGAAGAGGAGGGAAGAGAAAGGCACUCUGGGCAAAGGGACUGCCCUGGCAGCAGGGCUGUGGUCACAUGAGAGCACGGCUGGCACCUUUGGUGCCCUUGCUCCCUUUGCGCUGGGCGACCUCCCUGUAAGCAGGGCUCGGGUCUUUGCUUUUGUUGGCCUUUUGCCAUGUUGCUCCUUGGCUGCCUGGAGAGAGGGACGAGCCUGUAAGGAGGCUGCGAGUCCCUUUCUCCGCCCCGGAGGGGACAGGGAGCUCACCGGAACCCAGGCCCGCCCUGUAAGCAGGGCCGGGCUCUUUGUCCCCCAUGGCUUUCCGCCUGCCGGCCCCUGGCCGGCGCCACCCCCGCGCUGGGGGUGUGUGCCAGCAUUGGCCCUUUGGCGCCCCGUGAAGCCCCUUGGCAUGUUGAGUGCUCCGGCCUCCAUGCAGCCUGGGGGCAGGCCUGAGCCUCUCCUCCCGCUCCUGGGUACGGACCGGGCCCCCGACGUUGGCUGGCUGCCCUGGGCUCCCUUUCUCUCCUGGAAAGCCGUGUUACAUGUCUCCUGUCUCCUGUGCUUGUCUCUUUCCUCUUGUCCUCUGUCCUGUUGGGAGUGAGUGAGCUAAUGAGUGAGCUUGUCCUUUAGGCCUCUGUAAAAAGCGCUGCAGCGUAUUAGCUCCGGCUUCCCAGGCCUGAAAGAAGGGCUCUGGGCAGUAGCAGAGGGGUCCCGUCUCGGGCCCAGAUUUGAGGAGGGGGAGAGUUCCGGCUUGCCCCUUCCUCCCCCGGGCAGAGCGGAGCCACUUGGUAAUGGUGUGGGCGAGGGGACCUGCCCGUAGUCGGGGCCCAGGUCUGUGCCCGCGUGGCCGCCUGUCCUGCUGGCCACGUGGCCAGCGUGACGGCCCUGUAGUCAGGGCGUGCGUCACAAGCCGUGGAGCCCUGUGCGCCCGGAGCAGCUUGGCCUCCCUGUAAGCAGGGCGGAGGGGCCUGCCCUCCCGCGGCCUGCUGCUUUAGCCAGCCACCAGGAAUGACCCCUCCCCGGCCCGCUAAGGGGGCAGGCGGAGGAAGUGCCCUGCCGCAGGGCGCUGUGCGGCCUCCGGGCCGCUUCUUCUGGGGGCCACCUGCCCGCAGCCGGGCUCGAGGUGCCCCCUGGGCUCCUGCAGACGUGCUGUUGUGCUGCAGCCAGGCUGGCCAGCCUGUAAGCCGGGCCUAGGCCAGAGCCUCCUGCCCCGUGGGGCUCGGGGCUAGUGCCAGCGCUGGGGGCAGCGGCCUGUAAGCAGGGCCGUGCGUGUUCCCUGUGCUGUGCAGGAGGUGCUGGGAGCACCCGCCUGUAAGGAGGUGGGUUGUGCGGGGCCCCCGCCUUUGAGAGGCGCGGGGUCCGGGGCUGUGGGGCCAGGCGGGCCCUCCCUGUAGUCAGGGCGAGGGUGCCGGCCUCCGGCCUUUGGCCGGCGUGCUCGCUGCCUGGCUGCUGCGAGUCAUUCCUGUGGCCCUGGGGGAAGGCUGAGCUCUCUGUCUGCCUGGGUGUCGUGGCCCUCCCUGUAAUCGGGGUGCGGGCCUGGAGCCCGCGUGCUCAGCUGGCAGCCGGUUUGGGGCGACCGCCCCGUUAGCGGGGCCCAGGUCAGAGUGCCCCUGCAUGGGAGAGAAGGAGCCUCCCUCUGCCGCGGGGCCCCGGGCUGCCCUGUAGCUCGGGGACUGGCCUGUGCCCUGGGGCCCCGGCCUUAGGCAGUUGGGGCAGUGGCCCCGGCCCCCUGUAAGCAGGGCUGAAGCCUCCUGGGCCACUGCUCUCCGUGCCCAGCUCCAUUUGCCCAGAGUGCCCGCCUCUGACCCCCGCUGCAGCUUCAAUCAAGACCGCUGGACACCUCGUCAGCUGGAGGCCGUGCAGUGGGCAGCGGCUGCUGCUCAUGGAGAAGAAAGGAGAGGAGCCGUGAGGAGCAGCGAGUCAAGAGUGAGCACGAAGAGAGGAUGAGGAAGAUGGAAGAGAAAGCCUGUGCCCGGCGGAGGCAGCGGGAGGACCUGAGCAUGGGGCGUCGCAGUCUCCUCUUGUCCUGGAGCAGCUUCUGGAUCUCCCUUUUUCCCAGUUACUGAAUAAAAUGCUUUGUCAGCUUGUAGGUCCCCCUACCCCCGGGCCCAUUUCACACCCAGCUCUGCUGUAACUCACACCAGGCCCAUUGCACUGCACAGGCGGUCUGAACUUUGGCCCAGCUGUUGGAGGUUUUGCUGUUGUGAGGCUAGUGUGUGCUUGUCCUUAGUGGUGGCAAGGGGCGGACGUCAACGACUGUGUGGCAGCAGCUUCCAGGUAGGAGUGCGGUGGUAGUGCAGGGUUGUUGUGGAGGUGUUGUGGUAGUUCAGGGUGCUUGUGGUAGGAGUGCAGUGGUAGUGCAGGGUUGUUGUGGUAGGAGUGCGGUGGUAGUUUAGGGUUGUUGUGGAGGUGUUGUGGUAGGAGUGCGGUGGUAGUGCAGGGUUGUGGUAAGAGUGCGGUGGUAGUGCAAGGGUGUUGUGGAGGUGUUGUGGUAGGAGUGUGGUGGUACUGCAGGGGUGUUGUGGUAGACUUGAAGUGGUAGUGCAGGGUUGUUGUGGAGAUGUUGUGGUAGGAGUGCGGUGGUACUGCAGCAGUGUUGUGGUAGGCCUGCAGUGGUACUGCAGGGGUGUUGUGGAGGUGUUGUGGUAGGUGUGCGGUGGUAUUGCAGUGCUGUAGGAGGAUUUAUUUUGGCUUGUCCGUGGCCUGCGGCAGCAGCACGCAGUGUUUAGCAUGAGGGGAUGAGGGUGCGCCAGCUGUAGCGGCCUGUUCAGUGCAGAGUAGGGGGCAGAGGGGAGGUCGCCUGUGCGGUGCAAUUGGAUGGGGGUGCGGAGUUGGUGUGAGUGGGGUGUUGAAAACAGCCCCGCCCCAGGCCCCCACCCCGGCCCCCUCGGCCCUGCCCCUGUGCCACUGUUGCCCUAGUUGUCUUUUUACUGUUGCGUUUGUGACUGAGCUGACAGAAAUCAAAGACCCCGUGUGCUCUCUUUGCA